rnacentral:rRNA from 1 species
UGCCAGACUCCUACGGGAGGCAGCAGUGAGGAAUAUUGGUCAAUGGUCGGGAGACUGAACCAGCCAAGCCGCGUGAGGGGGGAAGGUACAGAGUAUCGUAAACCUCUUUUGUCAGGGAACAAAGACUGGGACGCGUCCCCGGAUGAGUGUACCUGAAGAAAAAGCAUCGGCUAACUCCGUGCCAGCAGCCGCGGUAAUACGGAGGAUGCGAGCGUUAUCCGGAUUUAUUGGGUUUAAAGGGUGCGUAGGCGGAAUGCCAAGUCAGCGGUAAAAUCGCGGGGCUCAACCUCGCUCCGCCGUUGAAACUGGCAGUCUCGAGUUGGAGAGAAGUAUGCGGAAUGCGCGGUGUAGCGGUGAAAUGCAUAGAUAUCGCGCAGAACUCCGAUUGCGAAGGCAGCAUGCCGGCUCCACACUGACGCUGAGGCACGAAAGCGUGGGUAUCGAACAGGAUUAGAUACCCGAGUAGA